rnacentral:tRNA from 2 species
GGCCGCGUAGCUCAGGGGAUAGAGCGACAGCCUCCGGAGCUGUAGGUCGCAGGUUCGAAUCCUGCCGCGGUCG